rnacentral:rRNA from 1 species
CCUACGGGAGGCAGCAGUGAGGAAUAUUGGUCAAUGGACGGAAGUCUGAACCAGCCAUGCCGCGUGCAGGAAGACGGCUCUAUGAGUUGUAAACUGCUUUUGUACGAGGGUAAACCUGAAUACGUGUAUUCAGCUGAAAGUACUGUACGAAUAAGGAUCGGCUAACUCCGUGCCAGCAGCCGCGGUAAUACGGAGGAUCCAAGCGUUAUCCGGAUUUCUUGGGUUUAAAGGGUGCGUAGGCGGAUUGAUAAGUUAGAGGUGAAAUGUGCGAGCUUAACUCGGGAAAUGCCUUUAAUACUGUUGUUCUAGAGAGUAGAUGCGGUAGGCGGAAUGUAUGGUGUAGCGGUGAAAUGCUUAGAGAUCAUACAGAACACCGAUUGCGAAGGCAGCUUACCAAUCUAUAUCUGACGUUGAGGCACGAAAGCGUGGGGAGCAAACAGGAUUAGAUACCCGAGUAGUC